GCGGGGCGGAGCUACCAUGCAGUCGAGCGGAACGAUGGAAGCUUGCUUCCAGGCGUCGAGCGGCGGACGGGUGAGUAAUGCAUAGGAAUCUGCCCGAUAGUGGGGGAUAACCUGGGGAAACCCAGGCUAAUACCGCAUACGUCCUACGGGAGAAAGCAGGGGAUCUUCGGACCUUGCGCUAUCGGAUGAGCCUAUGUCGGAUUAGCUAGUUGGUGAGGUAACGGCUCACCAAGGCCGCGAUCCGUAGCUGGUCUGAGAGGAUGAUCAGCCACAUCGGGACUGAGACACGGCCCGAACUCCUACGGGAGGCAGCAGUGGGGAAUAUUGGACAAUGGGCGAAAGCCUGAUCCAGCCAUGCCGCGUGUGUGAAGAAGGCUUUCGGGUUGUAAAGCACUUUCAGUGGGGAAGAAAUCCUCGGGGCCAAUACCCUCGAGGGAGGACAUCACCCACAGAAGAAGCACCGGCUAACUCCGUGCCAGCAGCCGCGGUAAUACGGAGGGUGCGAGCGUUAAUCGGAAUUACUGGGCGUAAAGCGCGCGUAGGCGGCGUGAUAAGCCGGUUGUGAAAGCCCCGGGCUCAACCUGGGAACGGCAUCCGGAACUGUCAGGCUAGAGUGCAGGAGAGGAAGGUAGAAUUCCCGGUGUAGCGGUGAAAUGCGUAGAGAUCGGGAGGAAUACCAGUGGCGAAGGCGGCCUUCUGGACUGACACUGACGCUGAGGUGCGAAAGCGUGGGUAGCAAACAGGAUUAGAUACCCUGGUAGUCCACGCCGUAAACGAUGUCGACUAGCCGUUGGGGUCCUUGUGACCUUUGUGGCGCAGUUAACGCGAUAAGUCGACCGCCUGGGGAGUACGGCCGCAAGGUUAAAACUCAAAUGAAUUGACGGGGGCCCGCACAAGCGGUGGAGCAUGUGGUUUAAUUCGAUGCAACGCGAAGAACCUUACCUACUCUUGACAUCGUGCGAACUUUCCAGAGAUGGAUUGGUGCCUUCGGGAACGCACAGACAGGUGCUGCAUGGCCGUCGUCAGCUCGUGUUGUGAAAUGUUGGGUUAAGUCCCGUAACGAGCGCAACCCUUGUCCCUAUUUGCCAGCGAUUCGGUCGGGAACUCUAGGGAGACUGCCGGUGACAAACCGGAGGAAGGUGGGGACGACGUCAGGUCAUCAUGGCCCUUACGAGUAGGGCUACACACGUGCUACAAUGGCCGGUACAAAGGGUUGCGAAGCCGCGAGGUGGAGCUAAUCCCGAAAAGCCGGUCUCAGUCCGGAUCGGAGUCUGCAACUCGACUCCGUGAAGUCGGAAUCGCUAGUAAUCGUGAAUCAGAAUGUCACGGUGAAUACGUUCCCGGGCCUUGUACACACCGCCCGUCACACCAUGGGAGUGGACUGCACCAGAAGUGGUUAGCCUAACUUCGGAGGGCGAUCACCACGGUGGGUGGA
rnacentral:rRNA from 1 species